rnacentral:rRNA from 1 species
UACAGAGGGUGCGAGCGUUAAUCGGAAUUACUGGGCGUAAAGCGUGCGUAGACGGUUAUUUAAGUCGGGUGUGAAAGCCCCGGGCUCAACCUGGGAAUUGCAUUCGAGACUGAAUAGCUAGGGUACGGUAGAGGGAAGUGGAAUUUCCGGUGUAGCGGUGAAAUGCGCAGAUAUCGGAAGGAACAUCAGUGGCGAAAGCGACUUCCUGGACCAGUACCGACGUUCAGGCACGAAAGCGUGGGGAGCAAACAGG